UGACUACUAACUGCAAAUCACAAUUGUGUCAAGUUGUGAUAAAGUAAGGGAAAAUAAUGAUAUUACCUUACUAUUAGUGUUGUCCAAAACUGGUGCCAGAAGACUCGGUAAGACCAGAGACGCAAACGUUAGUCGUCCUAAUCAGGCGUAAAGGGUUUGUAGGCUGCUUUGACAGUUUUAUUUUUAAAUAGCAAAAAUAAAAAUAAAAUCACUUAAAGCUAGAAUCAAAUAGAUGAUAUGUUAAAGAAUACUUAGAGUAGGGGCGAUAUCCUCAGAUACUAAGUGGAAUACUAAUGGCGAAAGCUUUUUUCUACUAAUGAUUGACGCUGAGAAACGAAGGUGAGGAUAGGAAAUAGGAUUAGAUACCCAGAUACCUCUCACUGUCAACUAUGAAUGGUGGUUACUAGUUUAAAUUUAAAUUGGUGGCGAUGUUAACACGUUAACCAUUCCGCCUUGCGAGUACGACUGCAAAGUUGAAACCAAAAAWAUUAGUG
rnacentral:rRNA from 1 species